UGGGGAAUUUUGGACAAUGGGCGCAAGCCUGAUCCAGCCAUGCCGCGUGCGGGAAGAAGGCCUUCGGGUUGUAAACCGCUUUUGUCAGGGAAGAAAUCUUCUGAGUUAAUACCUCGGGAGGAUGACGGUACCUGAAGAAUAAGCACCGGCUAACUACGUGCCAGCAGCCGCGGUAAUACGUAGGGUGCAAGCGUUAAUCGGAAUUACUGGGCGUAAAGCGUGCGCAGGCGGUUUUGUAAGACAGAGGUGAAAUCCCCGGGCUCAACCUGGGAACUGCCUUUGUGACUGCAAGGCUUGAGUGCGGCGGAGGGGGAUGGAAUUCCGCGUGUAGCAGUGAAAUGCGUAGAUAUGCGGAGGAACACCGAUGGCGAAGGCAAUCCCCUGGGCCUGCACUGACGCUCAUGCACGAAAGCGUGGGGAGCAAACAGGAUUAGAUACCCUGGUAGUCCACGCCCUAAACGAUGUCAACUGGUUGUUGGGAAGGUUCCUUCUCAGUAACGUAGCUAACGCGUGAAGUUGACCGCCUGGGAGUACGGCCGCAAGGUUG
rnacentral:rRNA from 1 species